rnacentral:rRNA from 1 species
UACGUAGGGAGCAAGCGUUGUCCGGAAUCAUUGGGCGUAAAGCGCGCGUAGGCGGCCCCGUAAGUCCGCUGUGAAAGUCAAAGGCUCAACCUUUGAAAGCCGGUGGAUACUGUGGGGCUAGAGUACGGAAGAGGCGAGUGGAAUUCCUGGUGUAGCGGUGGAAUGCGCAGAUAUCAGGAGGAACACCAAUAGCGAAGGCAGCUCGCUGGGACGUUACUGACGCUGAGACGCGAAAGCGUGGGGAGCGAACAGG